rnacentral:rRNA from 1 species
UGCGUAGGUGGGUAAGUAAGUCAGUGGUGAAAUCUCCGGGCUUAACCCGGAAACUGCCAUUGAUACUAUUUGUCUUGAAUACUGUGGAGGUCAGCGGAAUAUGUCAUGUAGCGGUGAAAUGCUUAGAUAUGACAUAGAACACCAAUUGCGAAGGCAGCUGGCUACACAAAUAUUGACACUGAGGCACGAAAGCGUGGGGAUCAAACA